AAGGAAUUAAGUCUUGCCAAUUUAAAUGCAAGUCAAUAAAGAGAAGUAUAAGGAGGAAUUAAUCAAAAGCUAUAAUUCACAAUACUAGAUACACAUGCCUCUACUAUACCAUCUUACUUUUCUCAUCUAGACUUGCAAAAGUAGAGAAAGAGGGAGGGAGCGAGAGAGCGAGAGGGCAUCAACCUAAAGAAGCAUUUGAUCCAUUGAUGAGCUUACUU
rnacentral:lncRNA from 1 species